AAACUGGAAAUUGAUCUUACAUUUUAGAAAUUUAGUAUUAUAACUGUGCUCCUUAGCAAAACAGGAAUACCUGUGUACAGACUGAUAUUAUGUCAUAUAUUAAUUAGACCUGCACAUACAUUUAUACAUUUCACAGAAAUGAUGUUGCAUCCCAUUUACAGAUACACAGCUGCAUUACAAUUAACAGAAAUAAGAAAACAAUGUAUUUUUGUAUCUCUUCAAUAUAUAAUAAAGGUUUAUAAAUCUUCAGCAGAAUAAACUGUAAAACGCGGCAAGCUAAGAAAGGACAACAUUUUGAGGUGUGUUUGUCUUUGUCAUGCAGCAUAACACCAAUUUGUUUUUAUUUUUUUAACUUAUCAGAAAACGCCAUGAAUUUAAGGCACUUUUAACAAUGCCAAAACACAUUAUGGUAAAGAACUAUGAAACGGAUGUAGAACAGGGUACAGUUGACAUAGUUCACUAAUACUGACAAUGACAAUAGUUCAAGUCUACUUUUACUUUAUAAAACACUACACUUUACAGACUAGAAAAAGAUGAUGAAUUUAUGAUGUGAGAAUUUUAGAUCAAGAGUUACUACAUUGCAUGUCAUACAAAAUCUUAACACAAAAUAUUUACACAAAUACUGUAUUUGACGGCAGGCCUACCACAAUGUUAGAGGCCAAAGUAGAUAUAUGCAAUAUAGUGACCUCAUGUACACCGGCACCUUGCAAACCAAGCCCUGACAUACUUGUUUUAAUUGCUCAAUGGUUUGAAGUCCUUUGGCAUGCCACCAGGUAGGGCAACUCAAGUUGUUGAGCAUACGCAUGGCAUGUAAAGGGUGAUAUGAAUAUGCAACUAUUACAGAACGACGAUACUGUACCUCUACAAAGAAACAGAAAACAAGGUGUGUGUUCACCAAAAAAUGAGUAGUGGGAAGUUCACAGUUAACUCACAAAAGUUGUGGCUAAACAGUCGAGCUGGAAAAAUAACCCAACUUUAUUGAGUUUUGGAUUUUUUAGCCUAUGUUUUGCAAACUGGUUGUCAUCCCACUCAUUGGUUAGUGAACAACUCCCAAUAAAAUGAGAUGCGUCCACGCAAUUGAUGUAUCAUGACAAAUCUAAAUACUGAUCUGCUAUACACAACAGCAUUGUCUGGCUUGUCUUUGUCUACCUUCUUUAGAUAAAUAUCCACAUUCAUGAUGACAACCCACUGUUUACAUUUUUCUUAAUUAUCUACAGCCACGGUAACAUAAUGACAGUGUAACUGCUUCUACCCAAUUAUUUCAAGAUACAAGCAAUAACGAAAAAUGAGUAGGAACAUGCAGCGCAUGCUUUGCAUAUAGCACACCUUUAACCAUAAACCACUAAUUUCAGAAACAAUCACAACGAUGAAACAAACAAAAAAAAAAAAAAACACAUUGGUAGAUGAUUUUUCAGAAUAAUGUUAGCUGUUUUUAUGGUUAUAUUCUGUAAAUGUUUGUAAUCAAAUGCAUGCCGGUGAAUGCAUAGCACAUCACUCAGGCUCUUACGCUCUGGGAUCUGAAUCAUCUGUGACCUGUUUGUGCUAUUUGCUUUAACCAAAGGAAUAUCCUGCAAAACAGGUCUUCUGGCAAAAACAAAAGAUUAAAACAUUAAUAAAA